UACGGAGGGGACUAGCGUUGUUCGGAAUUACUGGGCGUAAAGCGCACGUAGGUGGAUUUGUAAGUCAGGGGUGAAAUCCCGGGGCUCAACCUCGGAACUGCCUUUGAUACUGCAAAUCUCGAGUCCGGAAGAGGUGAGUGGAAUUCCUAGUGUAGAGGUGAAAUUCGUAGAUAUUAGGAAGAACACCAGUGGCGAAGGCGGCUCACUGGUCCGGUACUGACGCUGAGGUGCGAAAGCGUGGGGAGCAAACAGG
rnacentral:rRNA from 1 species